UUGUCUUUUAAUUGAAGACUAGAACAAAAGAUUGAACAAUUUAAUUAAUAUAUUAAAAUUUAAAUUUAUUCUUCAUGUAAAAAAACAUUUAUAUUCUAGGAAGACGACAAGACCCUAUUAAACUUAACUUAAGUUCAACUGGGGCAGUUGAUUAAUUAUUACUUUAAUUAAUAUUUUAACUUAAAUGAUCCAAUAUAACUGAGUACAUAAUCAAGUUACUAUAGGGAUAACAGCGUAAUAUUAAUCUAAAGAUCUUAUUUAAAUAAAAGAUUGCGACCUCGAUGUUGAAUUAAUAACCUAAUUAUUGCAAUAAAUAAAUAAAGGAAGUCCGUUCGACUUUUAAAAAAUUACA
rnacentral:rRNA from 1 species